AGAGUUUGAUCCUGGCUCAGGAUGAACGCUGGCGGCGUGCCUAAUACAUGCAAGUCGAACGCUUCACUUCGGUGAAGAGUGGCGAACGGGUGAGUAAUACAUAAGUAACCUGGCCUUUACAGGGGGAUAACUAUUGGAAACGAUAGCUAAGACCGCAUAGGUGUCAUAACCGCAUGGAGAUGAUAUGAAAUAUGCUACGGCAUAGGUAGAGGAUGGACUUAUGGCGCAUUAGCUAGUUGGAGGGGUAACGGCCCACCAAGGCGACGAUGCGUAGCCGACCUGAGAGGGUGACCGGCCACACUGGGACUGAGACACGGCCCAGACUCCUACGGGAGGCAGCAGUAGGGAAUUUUCGGCAAUGGGGGAAACCCUGACCGAGCAACGCCGCGUGAAGGAAGAAGUAAUUCGUUAUGUAAACUUCUGUCAUAGAGGAAGAACGGUGCGUGUAGGGAAUGACAUGCAAGUGACGGUACUCUAUAAGAAAGCCACGGCUAACUACGUGCCAGCAGCCGCGGUAAUACGUAGGUGGCGAGCGUUAUCCGGAAUUAUUGGGCGUAAAGAGGGAGCAGGCGGCACUAAGGGUCUGUGGUGAAAGAUCGAAGCUUAACUUCGGUAAGCCAUGGAAACCGUAGAGCUAGAGUGUGUGAGAGGAUCGUGGAAUUCCAUGUGUAGCGGUGAAAUGCGUAGAUAUAUGGAGGAACACCAGUGGCGAAGGCGACGAUCUGGCGCAUAACUGACGCUCAGUCCCGAAAGCGUGGGGAGCAAAUAGGAUUAGAUACCCUAGUAGUCCACGCCGUAAACGAUGAGUACUAAGUGUUGGGAGUCAAAUCUCAGUGCUGCAGUUAACGCAAUAAGUACUCCGCCUGAGUAGUACGUUCGCAAGAAUGAAACUCAAAGGAAUUGACGGGGGCCCGCACAAGCGGUGGAGCAUGUGGUUUAA
rnacentral:rRNA from 1 species